rnacentral:rRNA from 1 species
GCAAGUCGACGGCAGCAUGAUCUAGCUUGCUAGAUUGAUGGCGAGUGGCGAACGGGUGAGUAAUACAUCGGAACGUGCCCUGUAGUGGGGGAUAACUAGUCGAAAGAUUAGCUAAUACCGCAUACGACCUGAGGGUGAAAGUGGGGGACCGCAAGGCCUCAUGCUAUAGGAGCGGCCGAUGUCUGAUUAGCUAGUUGGUGAGGUAAAGGCUCACCAAGGCGACGAUCAGUAGCUGGUCUGAGAGGACGAUCAGCCACACUGGGACUGAGACACGGCCCAGACUCCUACGGGAGGCAGCAGUGGGGAAUUUUGGACAAUGGGCGAAAGCCUGAUCCAGCAAUGCCGCGUGUGUGAAGAAGGCCUUCGGGUUGUAAAGCACUUUUGUCCGGAAAGAAAUCGCACUUAAUAAUACUAGGUGUGGAUGACGGUACCGGAAGAAUAAGGACCGGCUAACUACGUGCCAGCAGCCGCGGUAAUACGUAGGGUCCAAGCGUUAAUCGGAAUUACUGGGCGUAAAGCGUGCGCAGGCGGUUGUGCAAGACCGAUGUGAAAUCCCCGAGCUUAACUUGGGAAUUGCAUUGGUGACUGCACGGCUAGAGUGUGUCAGAGGGGGGUAGAAUUCCACGUGUAGCAGUGAAAUGCGUAGAGAUGUGGAGGAAUACCGAUGGCGAAGGCAGCCCCCUGGGAUAACACUGACGCUCAUGCACGAAGCGUGGGGAGCAUACAGGAUUAGAUACCCUGGUAGUCCUCCGCUCUAAAACGAUGUCAACUAGUUUGUUGGGGGAUUCUUUUCCUUCGUAACGGUGGACAUGCGCGUGAAAGUUGACCGCCUGGGGAAGUACGGCCGUCUAAGAUUCAAA